rnacentral:rRNA from 1 species
UACGAAGGGGGCUAGCGUUACUCGGAAUGACUGGGCGUAAAGGGCGCGUAGGCGGUUUUUACAGUCAGGCGUGAAAUUCCUGGGCUUAACCUGGGGGCUGCGUUUGAUACGUGCAGACUAGAGUGGGGAAGAGGGUCGUGGAAUUCCCAGUGUAGAGGUGAAAUUCGUAGAUAUUGGGAAGAACACCGGUGGCGAAGGCGGCGACCUGGUCCUUGACUGACGCUGAGGCGCGAAAGCGUGGGGAGCAAACAGG